rnacentral:rRNA from 1 species
GACGAACGCUGGCGGCGUGCUUAACACAUGCAAGUCGAACGAAGAGCGAUGGAAGCUUGCUUCUAUCGAUCUUAGUGGCGAACGGGUGAGUAACGCGUAAUCAACCUGCCCUUCAGAGGGGGACAACAGUUGGAAACGACUGCUAAUACCGCAUACGAUCUAAUCUCGGCAUCGAGGAAAGAUGAAAGGUGGCCUCUAUUUAUAAGCUAUCACUGAAGGAGGGGAUUGCGUCUGAUUAGCUAGUUGGAGGGGUAACGGCCCACCAAGGCGAUGAUCAGUAGCCGGUCUGAGAGGAUGAACGGCCACAUUGGGACUGAGACACGGCCCAGACUCCUACGGGAGGCAGCAGUGGGGAAUCUUCCGCAAUGGACGAAAGUCUGACGGAGCAACGCCGCGUGAGUGAUGACGGCCUUCGGGUUGUAAAGCUCUGUUAAUCGGGACGAAAGGCCUUCUUGCGAACAGUUAGAAGGAUUGACGGUACCGGAAUAGAAAGCCACGGCUAACUACGUG